GGCUGAGCAGUUGUAUUUCACUAUGAUGCAUUUAAAUGUGUGAUCUGUUAGCUCGUAUAGAUAUUCUGUUGUCAAUUUCAUAUAAGGCGUUUCAGCGCCAAUAUGAUUAAAACCGAGACUAUGAUACUUUGCACUAAGGUAAACGACAAUGGACCUGACUGGUGUCUGGAUUCGUAGAUAUGGCGUCGGAGAUGUGAGGCUGGCUUGGAAGGAUGCCUCUGGAUGUAUGGACGUUAGCCGCGAAGCGACCCAGAAGGCACAUUUGUCGCAACGACUGUUACUCUCGAGAUCGUGUGGGCUAUCCACUCAGCUCACUCGGUCCAAUAAACGGUCCGUUAAGA